UUUGCGGUGGUCAUGGCCUAGGGGAAACGCCCAGUCUCCAUUUCGAACCUGGAAGCUAAGACCUAGCACGGUGAUGGUACUGCACUCGAUAGGGUGUGGGAGAGUAACAAACCGCCGCAACAA
rnacentral:rRNA from 1 species